UUGUUUCCACCCAUUUCCACACCCACGUGUGUUCGUUUCUUCGCCAGCCCUGGCUUCGUCUCUCCACACCUUAUCCCCAGUCUUCACGACGUCCAUUCAAUCCUAUCUCAUCUGACGGAGGUUAGCCGGCACCUCGCGCAGCCCUCCCAUUCUCCUCUCUUCGACCGGCAAGGUUCAUUCAUUUCUGGCACCGGCCAAAGGAAAUCAAGACCGUCCUGGAAGUCGAUUACGAGUGUCAUUUCUACAUGACGCCCACCUCUUCCUCCUUUCUAUUCUCCGCCGAGCUUUUUCUAGCGAUACACCCUCUGGCAACCGACACGAUUCCUCUAAAUAACACGUAGCAAGAUAUUAGAGGAGAAUCGAAAGCUGACUGGAUCUUCGAAUCGUUGUAGAUAUCGCUGCAAGGAACUCGAAAUAUCGAAACUAUAUCUGCGAGACUGGAUAUUUUAUCAAAGGACCGUGGAUGCCUGGUCGAGUGAAGUUUAUGGCACGGACGCUGGUAAAUUAAAAUUGAAAGAUUAUCGAGAAUGAAGACUACGUCUCCGUGAUGGGCCAAACGAAGAGUAUAAGUCAAGAGGCACUGGUAAUAUUUCAAAUGUUACGUCAUAUCGUCCUUACAGAGUAAGUAUCGUACUCCAUUUAGGAACAUCCUUCUUCUUUCGAGUAUUGUCUACUCGUAUUUAUUAUUUUCACCACAAAUGUUCAGUUUGUCUUUCAACGGCAUUUCUAACAGUCGAGACGUUUUACAAAAAUUAAUAGACUACAAGCGAAGAACAGCAUUACACUUAUCCUGUUUCGUCCAAAAUUUGAUUCGUACUCUUUCCUCCGCCAUAUAACGCUGUAAUGUAACGUAAAACAAUUAACGAGCUAGAUUUUUAAACAAUUUACGAACACUAUAACUCGAUACCUCCGUGUACAUAUAUUAAAUUGAACAUUAAGCGCUCUAUUCAUUCGUAUUAAAGCGAAAUUAGUCUGAAAUAUUAGUCUUACGUUAUUCGAUUCAACGUUUCUAAAUCGUCUAAAAUUUCAGCGUAAAGCUCUUCGAGAUAAGUUUCAAGAUGGGAAAUUAAGUUUAUGCGAAUACAGAUAAUAUGACGAUAUUAUGAUACUGGCAGCAGCAACGAUGAAAUAAUGUAUUCGCAACAAUGCUUACAAUAACGAUUCGCAACUGUCAUUAAAAUCUGUGAAAGCUGCCAGUGAAGUACCCAGUAAGGGAAAAUAUGAAAAGCCAAGAAUUAUUAUCUAAUUGAAGUUAUCUAAAGUUAUCUCGAUCGAUUAAAUAUUAUCAAGUGACAAAAGCAAAAUUAAAAUACCGAUAACGAGGUGCUAAAGAAUAAAAUACCUUCCAUUCUUAACAUUCGGCUGAUAAUCAAAUAUUCAGUAAGUAUUAAAAUAUCCGCUGAUACCAGUUUCUUACGAUUAAAAAUCAUGAGCGAUAUUCAUUUCUUUUUCUUUCUUUCUUCUUCUUUUCUUAUUUCAGAUUUGUCUUAACUUUUGGUAUCUUAAACGAAAUUAACUUAAUGUUGCUGAUACUGUUCCUGCUGAGAAAACGCCCUCUAUUUCAUGCAUCGCUUAAUGAAUUACGUCGAUACUCAUAUUCCCUUACUCUCCUCUUUACUGUACUUGCUCCUUAUUUUUUCCGUGUAUUUGGCCUGAUUUCUUCAUAUAUGGGACACUCGCAUGGUACAUAGGCGGCCCCUGUUUUCUAUUUCCCGUGUAUCGUACAUCCGACAUGGCAGCCUUUCCUCCCUCUAUUUUCUGCCUUAUCCCAACUUUUGUCGCGUUACUGUCCAUCCUCGUUCUCCUGGCAAUCUUAGCUGCGCCAUUGUCCGUUUGACUGAUAAAGGAGCGUCCAUGUUCAGAUUCUACUGUAUGAAGGCGAAUAUCUAAAGCUAACUUGCUUUCUUCGAAAGAAGUUAGACAGGACACGUUUAUCGUAAAACAGCAUGGUGGAAUCGCGCGGUAAUUUACAAGGGGCAAGUUUCGCCUUCUUAAAUCAUAGCAACAGGGCCAUGGGUUCGCCUCGUUAAGGAAUAAGAGUUCAGGUGAAAGUGUUUGAAUGUAAGAAGAGGUUCGUGAUGAUGAGUGGGGCGCAGGAAGAGCAGAAGCGCGGAAGAAUAGGUAGUCAAGAAUGCGAAGUAGGGUGAUUUUGUCGGGCCCUCUAAGCGGUGGGAUUAAGUGCUACGUAAAUUCUUCCGGCGCGGCGCCAGCCUGUUCUUCCUCUCUGUUCCUGCGGAUAAAGAAUCGCCGCUUGGUUAAACACAGGCCAAGGAAAAGUGAAAGUUUUUCGAAAGGUCGAAAGAGGUUGAGUUAUAUUCGAAUAUCAAUUCUAACGAUACACGUAAUUUUGAAGUAACAGUACGAUAAUAACGUAGUUUGUAGAUGAAUUUUGUAAGCGGAAUGAUAUAUCGAGAUGAAUAGAU